AGCUUUGCACAGUGGCAGUAUCGUAGCCAAUGAGGUUUAUCCGAGGCGCGAUUAUUGCUAAUUGAAAACAUUUCCAGAAAGAAAUGCAAUUAAAAAAGAAGCAUUAAAACCCUUUUUUUCCCUAAAGAAGA
rnacentral:snRNA from 1 species